ACCCACUCUGCCAUGCCCCUCCCCCUAAAACGUAGUGAUGGGUCAAUGCAAUCAAUGCAAUCCUUGGCCUGAAAAACGUUCGCUGCUGCUGAUUUAGACAUUUGUGGUACAGGAAAAAUAGAAGAUCGUCUCCCGAAAGAUCAAUGCCCUAUGUGGGAAGUGUCAAUUUUUUUUAAAAAAAAUAAAUGAUCAAAUGUUCUCAUCUGUUUUCUCCAAAACGUGAUUUCUACUCAAACCAAAAGAGCCUUUAGCUGCCUGUGGGUGGGAUGUUUUUUAACGCAUUUCUUCCCCUGCUUGGUUUUAUUGUAUGUACAGUGGAACCUCGAGCUGCAGACGUAAUCCGUCCCGAAGGCACGUCCGCAACUCGAAGCGUUCGCAUCCAGAAGUGCAGUGUUUGCGCAUGCACACGGCGUGAUUUAGCGCUUCUGCACGUGCGGCGAAACCCGGAAGUAACCCGUUCUGGUAGUUCCGGGUUGCCGCAGAACAUAAUGCAAAAAGACGCGACAUGAGGUAUGACUGUAUGUGGGAUUGCUUGUUUGUUUGUAAGUCACUUUGGGUUGCCCUGGGAAAGGUAAAGCGACUGACGUAUUGAAUAAUAGUAGUAAUAAUAAUAAUAAUAAUAAUAAAGCAAUCUUGCAUUUCUGUUUGCAGGUAGGGAGAGGUUAGUGACAGAUGAAAGA